ACUUGGAAACAGGUGUUAAUACCGCAUAAUGCUUUUUCUCCACAUGAGAGAAAGUGAAAGGCGCUUUUUGCGUCAAUGAUGGAUGGACCCGCGGUGCAUUAGCUAGUUGGUAGGGUAACGGCCUACCAAGGCAACGAUGCAUAGCCGCCUGAGAGGGUGAUCGGCCACACUGGGACUGAGACACGGCCCAGACUCCUACGGGAGGCAGCAGUAGGGAAUCUUCGGCAAUGGACGAAAGUCUGACCGAGCAACGCCGCGUGAGUGAAGAAGGUUUUCGGAUCGUAAAACUCUGUUGUUA
rnacentral:rRNA from 1 species